AAAUCAUGGUGAGGGAAAUUCCAAAGCAUUUUCUUAAAUCUCUCCAAACUCUCAUAAAUUGAUUCUCCUUCAAAUUGAUAAAAAUAUGUGAUAUCAUUUCUAAGCUU